rnacentral:rRNA from 1 species
GCUUAGGAAUCUGCUAUAGUGGGGACAACAUUCCGAAAGGAAUGCUAAUACCGCAUACGCCCUACGGGGGAAAGCAGGGGAUCUUCGGACCUUGCGCUAAUAGAUGAGCUAAGUCAGAUUAGCUAGUUGGUGGGGUAAAGGCCUACCAAGGCGACGAUCUGUAGCGGGUCUGAGAGGAUGAUCCGCCACACUGGGACUGAGACACGGCCCAGACUCCUACGGGAGGCAGCAGUGGGGAAUAUUGGACAAUGGGCGCAAGCCUGAUCCAGCCAUGCCGCGUGUGUGAAGAAGGCCUUUUGGUUGUAAAGCACUUUAAGCGAGGAGGAGGCUACUUGGAUUAAUACUCUAGGAUAGUGGACGUUACUCGCAGAAUAAGCACCGGCUAACUCUGUGCCAGCAGCCGCGGUAAUACAGAGGGUGCGAGCGUUAAUCGGAUUUACUGGGCGUAAAGCGUGCGUAGGCGGCUUUUUAAGUCGGAUGUGAAAUCCCUGAGCUUAACUUAGGAAUUGCAUUCGAUACUGGGAAGCUAGAGUAUGGGAGAGGAUGGUAGAAUUCCAGGUGUAGCGGUGAAAUGCGUAGAGAUCUGGAGGAAUACCGAUGGCGAAGGCAGCCAUCUGGCCUAAUACUGACGC